GAACGCUGGCGGCAGGCUUAACACAUGCAAGUCGAGCGGUAACAGGGGGAGCUUGCUCCCUGCUGACGAGCGGCGGACGGGUGAGUAAUGCAUAGGAAACUGCCCAGUAGUGGGGGAUAGCCCGGGGAAACCCGGAUUAAUACCGCAUACGCCCUUUGGGGGAAAGCAGGGGAUCUUCGGACCUUGCGCUAUUGGAUGUGCCUAUGUCGGAUUAGCUAGUUGGUGGGGUAAGAGCCUACCAAGGCGACGAUCCGUAGCUGGUCUGAGAGGAUGAUCAGCCACAUCGGGACUGAGACACGGCCCGAACUCCUACGGGAGGCAGCAGUGGGGAAUAUUGGACAAUGGGGGCAACCCUGAUCCAGCCAUGCCGCGUGUGUGAAGAAGGCUUUCGGGUUGUAAAGCACUUUCAGUGAGGAGGAAAACCUGACGACUAAUACUCGUGAGGCUUGACGUUACUCACAGAAGAAGCACCGGCUAACUCCGUGCCAGCAGCCGCGGUAAUACGGAGGGUGCAAGCGUUAAUCGGAAUUACUGGGCGUAAAGCGCGCGUAGGUGGUUUGAUAAGCGAGAUGUGAAAGCCCCGGGCUCAACCUGGGAACG
rnacentral:rRNA from 1 species